UUUUGACCUCGGAUCAGGUAGGGAUACCCGCUGAACUUAAGCAUAUGAACUUAUAAGCGGAGGAAAAGAAACCAACAGGGAUUGCCCUAGUAACGGCGAGUGAGCGGCAACAGCUCAAAAUUUGAAAUCUGGCUCUUUUAGAGUCCGAGUGUAAUUUGCAGAGGGCGCUUUGGCCUUUUGGCAGCCGGUCCAAGUUCCUUGGAACAGGACGUCACAGAGGGUGAGAAUCCCGUACGUGGUCG
rnacentral:rRNA from 1 species